AUACGGAGGGUGCAAGCGUUACUCGGAAUCACUGGGCGUAAAGCGCGCGCAGGCGGUCUUUUAAGUUGGAUGUGAAAGCCUACGGCUCAACCGUAGAACUGCAUCCAAAACUAUUAGACUAGAGUGUGGGAGAGGAAGAUGGAAUUAGUUGUGUAGGGGUAAAAUCCGUAGAGAUAACUAGGAAUACCAAGAGCGAAGGCAAUCUUCUGAAACACUACUGACGCUGAGGCGCGAAAGCGUGGGGAGCAAACAGGAUUAGAUACCCCAGUAGUCC
rnacentral:rRNA from 1 species